GGCCCGGUCGCGGACGGUCCGCGCCUGCCCUCAAUGGCACGCUACACACGUUGAGUACACGCAGGUACGCUCGUUCGAAUCGAGCCCGGGUCC